rnacentral:rRNA from 1 species
GAUAUGGCUCAGGAUGAACGCUAGCUACAGGCUUAACACAUGCAAGUCGAGGGGCAGCAUGAACUUAGCUUGCUAAGUUUGAUGGCGACCGGCGCACGGGUGAGUAACACGUAUCCAACCUGCCGAUGACUCGGGGAUAGCCUUUCUAAAGAAANAUUAAUACCCGAUGGCAUAGUUCUUCCGCAUGGUAGAACUAUUAAAGAAUUUCGGUCAUCGAUGGGGAUGCGUUCCAUUAGG